rnacentral:rRNA from 1 species
AUUGAACGCUGGCGGCAUGCCUAACACAUGCAAGUCGAGCGAGCGGCGGACUUGUGAGUAAUGUCUGGGAAACUGCCUGAUGUAGGGGGAUAACUACUGGAACCGGUAGCUAAUAUCGCAUACCAUCAGAUUUGCCCAGAUGGGAUUAGCUAGUAGGUGGGGUAACGGCUCACCUAGGCGACGAUCCCUAGCUGGUCUGAUAGGAUGCCCAGCAACAUGGGAAUGGGGCAACGGCCCGGACUCCUACGGGAGGCAGCAGUGGGGAAUAUUGCACAAUGGGCGCAAGCCUAAUAGAGCAAUGCCGCGUGGGGGAAGAAGGCCUUCGGUUUGUAAAGCACUUUGAGCGGGGAGGCGUUACCCGCAGAAGAAGCAACGGCUAACUCCGUGCCAGCCGCCGCGGUAAUUC